AUGGAUCUCGUCGCUGUAGACUGGUUCAAAGAUACAAAAAGAAUGGAUCAUGUUGUCAGAAGAAGUGGAUGUGCGGCUCAGGUUGCAGCAGAUAAAGGACUUUUCUCUAUUGUUUUUAAUCUGCAAGUACCUGGAUCAACACACUACAGCAUGGUC